rnacentral:rRNA from 1 species
AUGGGAGGAUUGGGUUUUAGAGACAUGAGGGCGUUCAACCAGGCUUUGCUCGCUAAACAAGCCUGGAGAUUACUGGACAGACCGGACAGCUUAUGUGCGCAUUUAAUCAAGGCGAGAUACUAUCCCUCGGGCCAGCUUUUGGAGACAGUGUUCCCGGGCACUGGCUCAGAAGUUUGGAAAGGAAUCGCAUGGUCUUGA